AGCUCCGACAGACGUUGCAGUUUCCACCAGCCCGCAGCCGGGAUCCUCGCAGCUGGCAGGCCAGCCCUCAACAGCGGCGGCUGCCUUGCUCACACAAGGAGGAUGCUCGCAGCAACCCCCCGAAGCUCCGACGGACGCUGCAUUCCCCACCAGCCCGCAGCUGGGAGCCUCGCAGCUGGCAGACCAGCCCUCAACAGCGGCGGCUGCCUUGCUCACACAAGGAGGAUGCUCGCAGCAACCCCCCGAAGCUCCGACGGACGCUGCAGUCCCCACCGGUCCGCAGCUGGGAGCCUCGCAGCUGGCGGGCCAGCCCUCACCUCCCGCUGACUUCAUGAUGGCGGCAGCCAAAAGUGUGCACCCUUGUCCGCCCUCCAGGGGACCUGAUGAGAUGUUCAGCGAGCCCUCAUGUUCAGAGCAAC